UGAAUGGUUCGAUUAUAGUUUAUUUUUAUGGGAUAAUUUGUGUAUUGUGUAAAUAUAUUCUGUGAUUUAAAACUCUAUAUAAUAAUUAGUGUUUAACUGCAGAGAAUAAUCAAAGAUCAAUUACAAUUACAAGAAGUGUUUUGUACCUUCUUGCCAGAACACUACAUUAAAUUCCAAGAAAAUAUUUCUAUCUGUGCCAAAAAUUGAAGAUAUUAGGAAAGCUUGGAGUGUCGCUGUUGGUCGUAGGAAAGUUCCAUCAACAUCUUCCGCAGGCAUAUAUUGUUGUGAAGAUCACUUUAUUAUGGAACAAGACUGUGAAAACUGGAUGGCAUAUAAAUUGUUUCACACCCAGUUGAAAAUAAAAAAAGAUGUUGUCCCACAUUGUAAUAU